CUGUCUACAUGGAGUCUACAGACCUUCUUUGGGAAGAGGAAUCGUAGGAGAACUAUUGACUUUCUUCAAGCAGUAUCAUGGCUGGAUUUGUGUUUUAGGAUAAUCUCCUUGGCUCCUGUGUGGGGUAGAUUCAGAAGUCUUGAUACUUUCCUGCAAGGAGCUACCUGCCGAGUGAAGGUCAGGACAUAAUUUUGAGCUCUUGGCGUAAUUAUUUUGAUGAAGUGCAUCCCGAGAUCAGAGCCUCACUGACGUCUAUUUGACAAGAACUCAGAGCAGUAAAGGGGAGAAGAAAGCUGUGUGUGCAGCUUGGAAGCCACAGAUAAAUGGGGCCUAUUCACAAGGCAGUGUGAAAAACAGGAGAGUGAUGGUAGCCAUUUUGCAAGGUGCAGGACUUAUGGACUCAUAAGUCUUUUAGAACUUGGCAAUUGUGCUUCAAAAUGAUGGAGAAAAAUGAGCAAGUGACUGCACACCGAAUAUAACCCACCUUUCUGAGAGCAGGAAGCAGGAGCCCAUGCUCAUGCCUCAUGUGGCAUUUCUGUGCACGAUCCAUCAUCUGGGCUGGGGAAUUCACAGGCCUCGGAAACCUCUGCAGAGCCUCAAAGCAGGAUGUAAAGAUUGAGCUACAGCUUUGACAAUUUCUGAGCUCUUGCUGUGGCUGAGAUCAAGGAACCAUAGUUAAUCACCAAGGGGUUGGUGGAUGCUGCUGCCACUUCUCCACACAAAGCACCAAGGCCAACCCAGCCCAAAGCUAGAAGACCACAGGACCUGGGCAUAUUGACAGCUACUCAUGGGUCUGAAAAGAUGGAGUGUGUCCCAAGCACUGAAGAGGCUUCUGCAAGUCUCCUGUGUCUUCUGAACAUGCCUCAGGAAGCUGUUCUUCAGCCGUUACCUAGGAAUUUGAGAUUUAAGGCUUGAAGCUUAAAGACCAUGGAAUCACUGGCAUUUCAUUGGGAACUGAGACAGUGGAUAUGGACACGCUUUGAAAGAUGUAACAAAUAAAAGCAGAGAUUAUUACGGA